rnacentral:tRNA from 2 species
GCGGAGGUUGCCGAGUGGACAAAGGCGCUGGCUUGAGGGGUCAGUCCCGAAGGGGUUCGGGGGUUCGAAUCCCCUCCUCCGCA